rfam:Branchiostoma floridae genomic scaffold BRAFLscaffold_16, whole genome shotgun sequence.
GUGGGGUACGGUGACCACUUCCCACUGACCGCUGCAGGGAAACUAGUGGGCAGCGUCUGCGUGGUGUCCGGUAUCCUGACCCUAGCGCUUCCAAGUCCCGCCAUUGUCGCCAAC